rnacentral:rRNA from 1 species
CUGACACAGGUGCUGCAUGGCUGUCGUCAGCUCGUGUCGUGAGAUGGUUAGGGUUAAGUCCCGUAACGAGCGCAACCCUUGUCCUUAGUUACCAGCACGUUAUGGUGGGCACUCUAAGGAGACUGCCGGUGACAAACCGGAGGAAGGUGGGGAUGACGUCAAGUCAUCAUGGCCCUUACGGCCUGGGCUACACACGUGCUACAAUGGUCGGUACAAAGGGUUGCCAAGCCGCGAGGUGGAGCUAAUCCCAUAAAACCGAUCGUAGUCCGGAUCGCAGUCUGCAACUCGACUGCGUGAAGUCGGAAUCGCUAGUAAUCGUGAAUCAGAAUGUCACGGUGAAUACGUUCCCGGGCCUU